rnacentral:rRNA from 1 species
AUGAACGCUGGCGGCGUGCCUAAUACAUGCAAGUCGAGCGAACAGACGAGGAGCUUGCUCCUCUGACGUUAGCGGCGGACGGGUGAGUAACACGUGGAUAACCUACCUAUAAGACUGGGAUAACUUUGGGAAACCGGAGCUAAUACCGGAUAAUAUAUUGAACCGCAUGGUUCAAUAGUGAAAGACGGUUUUGCUGUCACUUAUAGAUGGAUCCGCGCCGCAUUAGCUAGUUGGUAAGGUAACGGCUUACCAAGGCAACGAUGCGUAGCCGACCUGAGAGGGUGAUCGGCCACACUGGAACUGAGACACGGUCCAGACUCCUACGGGAGGCAGCAGUAGGGAAUCUUCCGCAAUGGGCGAAAGCCUGACGGAGCAACGCCGCGUGAGUGAUGAAGGUCUUCGGAUCGUAAAACUCUGUUAUUAGGGAAGAACAAAUGUGUAAGUAACUAUGCACGUCUUGACGGUACCUAAUCAGAAAGCCACGGCUAACUACGUG